rnacentral:lncRNA from 1 species
CAAGCUUCAUUGGAUUCAAUCAACAAUAUGACAACUGGACACAUUACACAAAAUCGGCGCGUGCCAUAUAAAAUGUUAAUAAUUCUUUUAUUUCUGAAUAUUUUUACACCAAAAUUUAAAUAUAUGCUCUUUAUUCAAAUCUGUAUCGUACUGAAUGACCUUGGUGCUUAUUUGACUGGUCCAUCAUGGGCUUAGUGCACUUCCUGGAGCUUAGUGCACCAAGGCGGCCUAGGUGGUGUUUAGACGUACCG